GGAUGAGGUUAUUGAGUGUCCGGGUGGGUUAUUGCACAUUAAGUGGCUACCACUCCUUCCCUUCUGUCCUCUGUACUCUAUCUCCUCCUCCCCCCAAGUGAGGAGUUGUAUAGCGUGAUGGCAUGAUGGACAAAGGAGUUCUUAAGUCUGUUGGUCCUACACUUGGGCAGGAGCAGUCUUUCACUGAACUGGUAGAACACAAACGAAGGUGGUGGCUCCUCCCAACCAUGACACUGAAUGAUGCUACCAUCCUGAAACACGUGUAUGUGUGUGUCUGUUUGAUAACCAGGGGCACAGGUGUCUUUGUGUGGCCACGUGAUCUCAGUGUGUAGCCCGCACAUUUACUGCUUCAGCCCAGGGUAAUGAUUAAAAGCCAAAUAAACAGCCUCUCCUCCCUGCAGGAAUGCUUCGGUCUGAUGAAUACCCCCUCGACGUCCAUCCUUCCCGUCUUAAUGAGCCAAGCUCCAAAUCGGAAGCAGCCGGCAUAAGCGAAGUAGAUCAUGGCCUGGGAGAAGGAGAAGGUUCUCCUGAUACAAAGACUCAAACUUGGGUUCUCUGGUGAGAGAGGCGACAGUACGGAUAUUCUCGAUGGCCUCUGUAGCAAUCUGUAGAGACGCACCACACAAACGUUACUGUAAACCUACUGAAUAUCACAAGCGUGUCCCGUGAGCAUCUUCAUCGACACGGCUCCGGCCACCGCCAUGACGGGAACCACAGCCAGGACGAGCAGGGUCAGCUCCCA